AACUCUUAGCGGUGGAUCACUCGGCUCGUGCGUCGAUGUCGAUGAAGAACGCAGCUAGCUGCGAACUAAUGUGAAUUGCAGGACACAUUGAUCAUCGACCUUUCGAACGCACCUUGCGCCCCGGGUUCCUCCGGGGCUACGCCUGUCUGAGAGUCG
ensembl:rRNA 5_8S_rRNA 5.8S ribosomal RNA